UUGACGGUACCUAACCAGAAAGCCACGGCUAACUACGUGCCAGCAGCCGCGGUAAUACGUAGGUGGCAAGCGUUGUCCGGAAUUAUUGGGCGUAAAGGGCUCGCAGGCGGUUUCUUAAGUCUGAUGUGAAAGCCCCCGGCUCAACCGGGGAGGGUCAUUGGAAACUGGGGAACUUGAGUGCAGAAGAGGAGAGUGGAAUUCCACGUGUAGCGGUGAAAUGCGUAGAGAUGUGGAGGAACACCAGUGGCGAAGGCGACUCUCUGGUCUGUAACUGACGCUGAGGAGCGAA
rnacentral:rRNA from 1 species